rnacentral:lncRNA from 1 species
UUAUUAAAAACUUGUAUGCCUUCGCAUUUAAACAGUAAAUCUAGUCAUUUUGUCAUCUGCCUCACAGGUCCCUGCUGCUCAACAGAUGUUAAAUUUUCCUGAGAAGAACAAGGAGAAACCAAUUGAUUUGCAGAACUUUGGUCUUCGAACUGACAUUUACUCCAAGAAAACACUGGCAAAGGUAAAGGCUUUUAUAAACCCAUGUUGGCCACCCGCUCACAUGUCUUCUUUCUUGUAUAGGAAAUCCAGUCUGACUGGAGACAGCAAGGUUUCUGUUCAGGUCUGGUGCCCUUUCAGCAUUCAUGUAGGUGAUUAGCAGAUAGAUAUUUAAAUAACUACAGACAGGGUUUUGUGAAGGUAGUUCAAUUUCAAAAGUAAGUUAAAAUAUAUAGUGAGAAUCAUGUAAUAGGGCUGGAGAGAUGCCCAGCGGUUAAAAGUGCCAACUGUGGGGUUGGGGAUUUGGCUCAGUGGUAGAGUGCUUGCCUAGGAAGCGCAAGGUCCUGGGUUCAGUCCCCAGC